rnacentral:ncRNA from 2 species
GUGCGUCACCGGGGGUGUCCUGAAGAGCAGGACUGAGAUAAACCCUUGGAACCUGAACCGGAUCAUACCGGCGGAGGGAGUGUGACCAGGCCACGGC